GCCUCCUUGGCUCAGUUGGCUAGAGCGCAGGUCUCAUAGAUAUAUGAGGUAGCUUGGCUACGUACCAUCCUGAGGUCGCAAGUUCGAGCCUUGCAGGGGGCA
rfam:Termitomyces sp. J132 unplaced genomic scaffold scaffold20, whole genome shotgun sequence.